rnacentral:lncRNA from 10 species
GUCCUGCUCAAGACUUGCCAUAUGCCAGGCAGGUGUGAUGGCACACACUUGUGGUCCCAGCUACUCAGGAUGCUGAGGUGGGAGAACAGAUUGAUUCUGGGAGGUCAAGGCUGCAGUGAGCUAUGAUUGCUCCACUGCACUCCACCCUGGGUGACAGGAACUGCAGACAGCCUCUAGAAGUUGAAUCAGCCUCUACCAAGAAGCUUCUACCGGUGCAAAGAACUGAAUUUUUCAACAAACCUGAGGGAGCUUGGAAGUGGAAAUUUCCACAAUCAAGCCUCUGAUGAGAAUUCAGACUCAGCCAACACCUGGAUUGCAGCCACAUGAGGCUUGAAG